rnacentral:rRNA from 1 species
UACGAAGGGGGCUAGCGUUACUCGGAUUGACUGGGCGUAAAGGGCGCGUAGGCGGUUUGUUCAGUCAGACGUGAAAUUCCUGGGCUCAACCUGGGGGCUGCGUUUGAUACGUGCAGACUUGAGUUCGGAAGAGGGUCGUGGAAUUCCCAGUGUAGAGGUGAAAUUCGUAGAUAUUGGGAAGAACACCGGUGGCGAAGGCGGCGACCUGGUCCGAUACUGACGCUGAGGCGCGAAAGCGUGGGGAGCAAACAGG